rnacentral:lncRNA from 1 species
UGCUUAUAACUACUCAUCUUCUUCUUCCUGAACCUGAUAUAAUUUGGCUCAAAAGUUUGUACUAACCUUUAAAUGUUAUGAAUUUCUUCUUGUCCGUAAUCCACUUGUUUCUCAAUUUCUGAACUAUGAUUUUCAUUACAACCAUACACAUUUUUUCCUACUCCUUUUUCAAAUAAAAUGGUCAUAUCUUAUUGGUUGAGACACGUUGAACCUGUUCCUGAGACAUGCUGCUAUUACGCACAGGAUUUUUCCCGUGUUUGAGAAAAUAUUGUCAAUUAAAUAAUUGCACAGAAAGACAGUUAGAAUACAUGUCCAGGGAUGUUAUUUACCAUGCAACAAUCAACAUAAACAACUGAAAACAGAUACUUUCUAAAAGUAUUUGUGAAUCUGUUACCGAAAGAGAGAAUUAUAAAAACUAUAUUCCGGAAUCUUGCAGUGCUUAAUAAGCCAAGGCUGUAAUACUGGUCAAGAAGCAGAAUACCUUCUCUAUUUCACUGACUUCACUUGCUUUGGUUACACGAAAUUUUAACGCCUCUUCUUUCUGCACUCUGUCCAAAUACAGGGGAUAAAUCAAACUUUUUUGGAGCCAAACAUUGUUAUAAUAUGUAUACUAAGUUAAAACAAAACUACAUGACACAAUCCAUAUGAAAAAGUACUUAUCUAAAUAGUUACACAAUUUUAACAAUUGUAUCACAUAUUAUGUACCAGACAGUAAUUCAGUUUGAAAAAAUUCAUUUGACAUGCAAAAAACAAUUGGUCAAUAUUUAGCAAAAAAAUUCAAAGAGUUAACAAUUAAAGCUCCCAGAAUUUCACAAGCUGCACGAGGCUCACUGUUGUGAUUUUUGAGCAACAACAAAU